GGCUCGGGGGUAGAGCGCAACCUUGCCAAGGUUGAAGUCGAGGGUUCGAAUCCUACC
rnacentral:tRNA from 1 species